GUUGAUGCUUACUAAAUUCAUCAACUGUGCCGAAGCACACCAAACUUAAGACGAAUUUGGGCUUAAUUUGCGCCGACGUCGGCGACCGGAGGGCGAACUUUAGGAGGUCGGCUGGAAUCCGAGCCUCCCACGCUGAAAUUACGGCCGGUUGGGCCGAAGCGGCGAUAUUUAAGUCCCUGGCCACCCGAAGGAACGGAGAUGCUCCUACCUCUUUGACUCUUCACACCAGAUCUGGAGGCGCCCUCGCGUCAAUAGCCCCUCUCCGCACUCGAUGGCCUCAGUUCCAGCCGCCGACGUCGACCAGGGACCGACGAUGGACGGGACAGAAGUGGACGAUAACCUCAUGGGGGCUGGGAACUCAGACAUGGCUAUAAAGAUUGUCACUGAACCUUCUAAACUACCAAAUAGCCUCCUCAAACCUUCACGUACCGAUGCAAUAGUAAUUGGAUUUGACUGUCAGGGUAUUGAUGGCAUCAGUAUCUUGCUGCUUGCGUUGCCCGAUGCUGUCUACUUAGUUGAUGCUAUUAAGGGUGGACAAGAGUUAGUUCAAGCUUGCAAGAUUGCACUUGAAUCGAUUGCCAUCACCAAAGUAAUUCAUGACUGCAGGCGUCACAGCAAGACACUUUUUGAUCAAUAUGGCAUCAGACUUCGUAAUGUGAUGGACACCCAGGUUUUAUAUUCUGUAUUGCAAGAGAGGAAAUGGGAAAAGCCAGAACAUGACCGCAUAUCUCUCUUUGCUAUUCGUCGCUACCAUGAAAUGACAUGUGCUGCAGAACAAAGGCUCAAAAUGCUGCCUUGUCAGGAAUGGGCGAGAAGGCCCUUAUCUAAAGUCAUGAUCGAAAUGGCUAGGGAUUACGUGUCCUUCCUUCCUGCUUUACAUGCUAUAAUAAUAAAGAACUUAAGCAAGUCAUCUUUAUGGCAAGUGGCAGUUCAAAGUGAUGAACUUUCAAGACAUUAUUAUUCGCCAAUUUCUGUCAUGUUUGGGCCUGGAUCAUGUCUUAAUGAUGAACCGGUAGAGGCAUAUACAAAUCGGUGUGCUACUACAUUGUGUUACACCAUCGAUACUGAGCUUGAAAUUCUUGUUGCCACAGAUGACGGAAGAUUCCUAUUGGCCGGAUUUUUUAAAUACCUAAUUAGUAUGCUGCUUAAAAGAAAGAGCUGGAAAGCCUGUUUUCAGUUGCAAAACCUUGUCAUUCGAAAUAAGGAAUUCAUAAUCUCGAUUCCGCCUACUCACGAAGCCAGUUUGAAGAAUGCAUUCCUUGAUCUGCAGAGAAUGCUGAGCCUUCUCCUUCCUUAUUUCUUAAGAAAUAACAGAUAUGCAAAUUACAUCUCUAGCCUCAUUACGGUCAUUGAUAAAUAUUCAAUUGAAAUUGAUGAUUCUGAUUUGGUGAAAUUUCUUUCGGAAUUACUUGGUCACAUGUCAUUUAAUUCACCAGUUGACAAUUCAAGCCUACUUUUUCAUCUGAUCACCAUAUAUAAUAAUAUGCUGCCGGAAGCCGAUAAGAUUAUUUUUGAGCAUGCUGUGAACAGAGCCCAGUUUUUUGAUGAAUCUGGUCAACAAAUUGAUUGGAGAGAAAUGGCAUGGCGAAAGGCUUUAUUGAUUAGUGAUAAUGUUUCCACCACUCCAGUGAGAAAGGUUCAUACUUUCUUUGCAGACUCGAUGUUAUGUCCUGUUUUUAACAGGCACUUUAAAGAGCAUGUGGCUGAAUCAGCAUCUGCAAUUCAAACACCUGAAGAAUUGGACAUCUUUGGACACUUCUAUGGAAAUUUUACGGCUCAAGCUGUGAUGGCAAUCUUUAUGGCAUUCAAUCCUGGCGACAACAAGGAGAUUGAUAAUCUUCGUGAUAAUCUUCGCAGAUGUAGAAUCUAGAAUGUGAAAAAUCCUGGCCAAGGCAGUAUGUUUUGGGAAGUUCAAGGUCAAGAAAUCCUCUUAAUAGGGAUCAUGACCCUUUUUCGAUGGAAGAGCGAGUUGAUGAUGCUGAUGGUUUUUCUUCCCUAGAUUCAAUGGAGGAUGAUUUUGGUUAAAGAUAUUUGGCUGAGGAAGCUGUUAGUUUUCAGACAGUGAAAUAGUAUUGCUAUUUGUGGAUAAGCUCGCCAGCUAUAGCAAUUAUUGUUGCACUGAUUUGCUAUUUUUGGUGCUAAAUUUGACAGUCUUAUUUGCCCAUCUUCGAUUGAAGUAUGUGCUGUGAUCUGAUGCAGCUAUUUUUGAAUUCUUAUAUUCUGUACUGUUUUUCAUGACUGGCAAUUUAAAUUAGUGUGAUCCGAUGCAGUUAUUUUUUAUUUUUAUUGUUCAUGUUCGUAUUGUGGCAAUUUUGAUUUGGUGUUCAUUUUCGUAUGAAUGCUUAGGGCAGCUCUUUCUAUAUGAUAGCCC
rnacentral:rRNA from 1 species